GUCGGAAAUGCUCAUUGGCAUGCGAAGGGCUCAUGAAUGUUGGGGAUCGGCAUUCUCUUUCUUCCCUAGGUGGCAGUGAGGGUCUGUUGCGGGAUGUUACUGGUUGUAGUGGAAAGCAUCCAGAUCAAUUUUGGGAGGUUGAGUCUCUUAUAAUGAGUUGCUGGAACUCUCUACGGCAAUGUGGAUUGGUGGUGGUGGCGAUAUGAAACUCUUCUGUGGUGGAGGGGUGCCCUUAGCAAAUUUCAUCAAUUGGGCAUCUAGAAAAUUAAAACAUUAGGCACUAAGGACACGGCGGGGACGGCGGCCAACGCGGCCCAGAAAGUUGAGAUCGUGAUCUACAAACCUGAGGCGGAGGAGACGACCACGACUGAGGGAGAAGGUAGAAAAGAACUUCAAACGCAGGAAUCCUGAUGAGGCUAGGAAACCUGGAGGCACUAGGAAACCACAUGGCUUGAAGAUGACGUUGGAGAUAUUUUGGGAGAUUAAACCUGAUUUUGCCAUGGGAAAUGAUGGAGAUAAUGUGAAAAUCAAGGAGAUUACGUUGAGAAAAUCUUGGGAGAGUUUCAAGGGAUUGUGCAACAAGAUAAGGCUCAAAACAAGUCCAGAUUCGUUCCUCAAUUCCCUCAAGAUAUGUUGGCCGAAAUUAAAGAAUUAAAAUCUGCAGUAUUAAUGUGAAAAUCAAGAGAAAAUCAAGGGGAGGACAUUAAGGAUAAAGCCAUGGAGAGAUUUAAGGAAGAAAAUGUUCAAAAUGCGUCCGGAUACAUUGUCUAGGUUCAUGCCUAGAUAUUUGGCCGAAAAUUGUGAAUAAAAUCAGAUUAAAUCAUGGGAAAUUCGGCAACAAUAUAUUAGGGAUUCAUUGAUUUUGGAGCUUUUUGAUUGGUUGGAUGACACAACAGAGUUGACGUGGCGCUACGUGAUUGGUCGAAACUGUGUGGCAUUAUCAGAUUAAUUCCUUGGGAAAUUAAAAGAAGGAUCAUGAAGCUUGGCCGUCCCCCUAUAUAAACCCCCUAUGCUAGACGACCACUUCACACAUUCUCUCAUUCAGAAAAUCUCUCAACCCUGAAUCAAAAUCGCAAAUCCUCCCCUUUUCUCUCUCAAAGUUUCGGCCUCUCCAAGUGUUCAAAGUUUUGAAGCCAUGAAGCAAGUUCAUCCUCCAUCCUCCAUCCUUGCCGUGAUCCUCCUUGCCGUCCACCACCUUUGAAGACCUUCUUGCGUUCUUGAAGCAUCUUUAAAAGUGAGCGCCCUCAAUCCCCGGAUAGAACAAUCCCUACUUGCUAUAUACUAACAACUGUCAACAUGGUUAAUUUUGAGAACUCAUUUCGAGCUCAUCACGUCCCUUUUUAUUUAGGGUUUUUUUCUCUAACAAUG